ensembl:snRNA U1 U1 spliceosomal RNA
AUACUUACCUAGCAAGGGAGAUGCCAUGGUCACAAAGGUGGUCUUCCCACAGCGAGGUUUAUCCAUUGCACUCCAGAUGUGCUGACCCCCGCGAUUUCCCCAAGUGUGGGAAACUCGACUGCAUCAUUUGUGGUAGUGGGGGGCUGUGUUCAUGCUCUCCUCUG